UGGGGAAUUUUGGACAAUGGGCGAAAGCCUGAUCCAGCAAUGCCGCGUGUGUGAAGAAGGCCUUCGGGUUGUAAAGCACUUUUGUCCGGAAAGAAAUCCUUGGCUCUAAUACAGUCGGGGGAUACGGUACCGGAAGAAUAAGCACCGGCUAACUACGUGCCAGCAGCCGCGGUAAUACGUAGGGUGCAAGCGUUAAUCGGAAUUACUGGGCGUAAAGCGUGCGCAGGCGGUUUGCUAAGACCGAUGUGAAAUCCCCGGGCUCAACCUGGGAACUGCAUUGGUGACUGGCAGGCUAGAGUAUGGCAGAGGGGGGUAGAAUUCCACGUGUAGCAGUGAAAUGCGUAGAGAUGUGGAGGAAUACCGAUGGCGAAGGCAGCCCCCUGGGCCAAUACUGACGCUCAUGCACGAAAGCGUGGGGAGCAAACAGGAUUAGAUACCCUGGUAGUCCAC
rnacentral:rRNA from 1 species